UCCUUGCUGAAGAGUCCCAAACAGGACGAAACAGCUGUCCAGUGC
rnacentral:hammerhead_ribozyme from 1 species